UACGAGGGGGGCAAGCGUUGUUCGGAAUUAUUGGGCGGAAAGGGUGCGUAGGCGGUCUGAUAAGUCAUCUGUGAAAUCUAUGGGCUCAACCCAUAGUCUGCAGGCGAAACUGUCGGGCUUGAGUAUGGGAGAGGUGAGUGGAAUUUCCGGUGUAGCGGUGAAAUGCGUAGAUAUCGGAAGGAACACCUGUGGCGAAAGCGGCUCACUGGACCAUUACUGACGCUGAUGCACGAAAGCUAGGGGAGCAAACAGG
rnacentral:rRNA from 1 species